UUUAACUGACCAAUGCCAGAUCACUUCCUGAAAUCACACACUUUCUCACAGAUCAUAUUAUCCCAUGAAUUUUCAUCAAAACUCUUAAAAUUAACUGAAAUAUUUAAUUUUUCAUCAAAUUUUAGCUCCUAACAGGAUGAUUUCAUGGGAGUAGGGACUUAGUUGUUUUAUUUUUAUUCACAAAACUCUUGAUGUAUAUAAAUUUGAAUAAAAAUAUUAUUAAAAAUACUAUAGCAUUGACAUCAUUAUCCUGUUUUUACAGAUAAAGGAAAUACAUGUUAGGUGAAGUAUAUUUCCAAUUUCACAGGCCUGCUAGUAGAAUCAAAGAAGUUAUGAAAAGCUGGAAAAUCGAAGAUGAUAAAGAAGGAACAGGGCCAUUAGAAACGACAAAUACCCACCAUUUGCUUUGACGUGGAUGGACCUGGAGGGUAUUAUGCUGAAUGAAAUGAUGCCCUGGUUUAGAGAUAUCUGAUGGCCUGAGUGCCUCAAUCGGUUAAGCAUCUGCCUUCAGCUGGAGUCAUGAUUCCAGUGUCCUGUGAUGAAGCCUGGUGUCAGGCUCUCUGCUCACUGAGGAGCCUGCUUCUCCCUCUCUCAGUGCCCCUCAACCUUGUCCCCACUUGU